rnacentral:rRNA from 1 species
CUACGGGUGGCUGCAGUGGGGAAUAUUGGGCAAUGGGCGAAAGCCUGACCCAGCAACGCCGCGUGAAGGAAGAAGGUUUUCGGAUCGUAAACUUCUAUCCCAGGUGAAGAUAAUGACGGUAGCCUGGAAGGAAGCCCCGGCUAACUACGUGCCAGCAGCCGCGGUAAUACGUAGGGGGCAAGCGUUGUCCGGAAUGAUUGGGCGUAAAGGGCGCGUAGGCGGCCUUCUAAGUCCGAUGUGAAAGUCCUGCUUUUAAGGUGGGAAUUGCAUUGGAAACUGGAGGGCUUGAGUACAGGAGAGGUAAGUGGAAUUCCCGGUGUAGCGGUGAAAUGCGUAGAGAUCGGGAGGAACACCAGUGGCGAAGGCGACUUACUGGACUGUAACUGACGCUGAGGCGCGAAAGUGUGGGGAGCAAACAGGAUUAGAUACCCGAGUAGUC